rnacentral:rRNA from 1 species
UCCCAGGGGGGUGCCUAUACAUGCAAGUCGAACGCGUUGGCCCAAUUGAUUGAUGGUGCUUGCACCUGAUUGAUUUUGGUCGCCAACGAGUGGCGGACGGGUGAGUAACACGUAGGUAACCUGCCCAGAAGCGGGGGACAACAUUUGGAAACAGAUGCUAAUACCGCAUAACAGCGUUGUUCGCAUGAACAACGCUUAAAAGAUGGCUUCUCGCUAUCACUUCUGGAUGGACCUGCGGUGCAUUAGCUUGUUGGUGGGGUAACGGCCUACCAAGGCGAUGAUGCAUAGCCGAGUUGAGAGACUGAUCGGCCACAAUGGGACUGAGACACGGCCCAUACUCCUACGGGAGGCAGCAGUAGGGAAUCUUCCACAAUGGGCGCAAGCCUGAUGGAGCAACACCGCGUGAGUGAAGAAGGGUUUCGGCUCGUAAAGCUCUGUUGUUAAAGAAGAACACGUAUGAGAGUAACUGUUCAUACGUUGACGGUAUUUAACCAGAAAGUCACGGCUAACUACGUGCCAGCAGCCGCGGUAAUACGUAGGUGGCAAGCGUUAUCCGGAUUUAUUGGGCGUAAAGAGAGUGCAGGCGGUUUUCUAAGUCUGAUGUGAAAGCCUUCGGCUUAACCGGAGAAGUGCAUCGGAAACUGGAUAACUUGAGUGCAGAAGAGGGUAGUGGAACUCCAUGUGUAGCGGUGGAAUGCGUAGAUAUAUGGAAGAACACCAGUGGCGAAGGCGGCUACCUGGUCUGCAACUGACGCUGAGACUCGAAAGCAUGGGUAGCGAACAGGAUUAGAUACCCUGGUAGUCCAUGCCGUAAACGAUGAGUGCUAGGUGUUGGAGGGUUUCCGCCCUUCAGUGCCGGAGCUAACGCAUUAAGCACUCCGCCUGGGGAGUACGACCGCAAGGUUGAAACUCAAAGGAAUUGACGGGGGCCCGCACAAGCGGUGGAGCAUGUGGUUUAAUUCGAAGCUACGCGAAGAACCUUACCAGGUCUUGACAUCUUGCGCCAACCCUAGAGAUAGGGCGUUUCCUUCGGGAACGCAAUGACAGGUGGUGCAUGGUCGUCGUCAGCUCGUGUCGUGAGAUGUUGGGUUAAGUCCCGCAACGAGCGCAACCCUUGUUACUAGUUGCCAGCAUUAAGUUGGGCACUCUAGUGAGACUGCCGGUGACAAACCGGAGGAAGGUGGGGACGACGUCAGAUCAUCAUGCCCCUUAUGACCUGGGCUACACACGUGCUACAAUGGACGGUACAACGAGUCGCGAACUCGCGAGGGCAAGCAAAUCUCUUAAAACCGUUCUCAGUUCGGACUGCAGGCUGCAACUCGCCUGCACGAAGUCGGAAUCGCUAGUAAUCGCGGAUCAGCAUGCCGCGGUGAAUACGUUCCCGGGCCUUGUACACACCGCCCGUCACACCAUGAGAGUUUGUAACACCCAAAGUCGGUGGGGUAACCUUUAGGAGCCAGCCGCGUAAGUGAACAGAUGG